AACUUUAACCUUUUCAUUGGUAACCUAAAACAUCACAACAUUUUUGCAAUGUAUCAAUAAAUCCAACCAAUAAAUUCUUGCGUUGUUUAAUGGAAAUAAAAUAAAAUGCCAACGGACAACUUCAUUGAAAAGAACAAGCAAUAUGAACUUCAAACAAGGAAGCACAAAGUUCAUGUCAACAAAGGCACAUCAAACUUCAGACAGGAACAUAUUUCCGGUUUAAGAAAAACUUCAACUGCCACAUAUCCCAAAGAGAUUUCUUACCUUAUACAAGAAAGAAGAAAAUACUACUUACUCACUGCCUCACUCCCAUAUUGAACUAAACAAUAAUCAGCAUGCAUUAAACAUAGAUCCCAUGAUGGCAUGAUUCAAUUUACUAUUAAAAAUAAAAGCACCAUGUUACAUAUCUCAUAAUCUCUGACUUAUUUAUUUAUUUAUUUAU
rnacentral:misc_RNA from 1 species